rnacentral:lncRNA from 1 species
AACUUCAAUUUUAAUCUGGAUAACGCCAAAGCUUUUCCUCAAAUUCACCCCUGGAGUCAGCUCAUAGAUGCUCUGAUUUUGUCUACCAUUGCUCCUCCUUAAUAUCUCUCGCACAGGUGCCAUUGACCUUUAGAUGGGCUGUACGGUGUGGGGUUCGGUGCCAUGGAUCUGCUUCUCCAGGGACCAGGAUCUUGAGAUCUUCAGGCUGGGUUUCCAUGGAGGCAUGGAGCUGCUUUUCCUCCUUCAUAACUGCACUCAAAACAGCCCUGUUGCUCUAGAAUGGAGACUUGGGCAACUCCUUCUGGCACAGAUUUGUUCACCUCAGGUGAAAUUCAGAUAGAAGCAAGCUGCAGGCAGUUUCACCUCUAAGUCCAUGGGUUCUCAACUGGUAACGUCCUCUUAUGGAUGUUAGCCCAUGAGGUCAAUCCUGUAGCAAUCUAAGGCUUGAGAAAAAUUAAUCUUCUGGAAAAUUCCAAGAAUACAUCUUAGGGAAACUGGCUCUACCUUUAUGACUUGGAUCACACAAGGAUAUGCUUUUCAUCUUGGACUAGAACUGAGAGCCAAUGGAUGUGUUAUCUAAAACUAUCCCAGUGUGUUCACUAUACAGAGGAAGAUUCUGAGAUUCAAGACUCAAGACUGAAGAAGAUCAUUAUUUUUAUUAUUUUAGUCUUAUGCACAAAAUGAUAUCUACUGAAUAAGCAGGUUUUUAAUAGGUGACUUAUAUAUGUUAGCAAAAAUAAACACUUUGUCUUUUAGAUCUAUUCUAGUUUUUCAGUAGCUGUAGACUUAAGUGCUAACUUUUAGCCCAUAGGAUAAGAAGAAACCAAGUCCUAAAAGUAGGCCAGCACCAGGGUUCAGGCCUCUGACUUCAAGCCAAGGGCUCAUCAUCUUGAAUUGCGCACGAAUUUUUACACAGCGCCAAAGGAAACUGCCUGUACUUACUGUUGUAGGUGCUUUGCUGGAUUCAGGAUGCAGACAAGGUCCACGCAUUGUGGUUGGAACAAUGACUAGAUCUUUACCUGGUCCACAGCCCUCCCCAGUCUGGCUGCAACCUCUCAUGAGGCUGAGCUCACCAUGAACCCCUGCUCUAGGCGUCUGCAUAGUGUUCUGUUUGUCCCCGUGACUGUCCACCUCUUCUUUGGCCUGUUGGCAUGCGCUUAUCCUCCAGACCUCAGUCCAAAGUUCAGUCCCGGAGCAGACACAACCCUGUUUGCAGAGAGCCAACAUUCUAAUUGACAGUGCGUGGUGGGAAACAGUGAACCGAGGGAAAGAGUGCCAGUGUUAGAGAGCCACAGUGCAGUGAAGAAGAGAAGGCAAGAGGAUGUGAUGCAAAAUCACAGGACCUGGCUUCCAGACCAUUCUGCUUCCAUGAGAACAUUUCAGUUGAGAACCGGAUGGCAUGAAAUGUUUUCAGAGAUAAGAGUAUUACAUUGGAAACCUGUUGUGAC